UCAGGAUUAACACAUCAGGAUAUCAGGAGAGUGAAUGGUGCCACCUGUUGCAAGGACGUUUACAAGAUAUCCUGUGACUAGUGGCUCAGGAACUUUUCAGAGCUCAUCAGUGCUUCUUUUAAAAAAGCAAGAAAACUUUGGGACCGCUCAUUAUAGAUGCCAGACUCUGACAGGAGAAUUGUUAUAAAAGUGGGAGAAAAAGUGUACUGGAACCUGUUAAAAUGUGCAAAAGCUGCUCAUUGGGAAAACAGACCUUUGGCUUCCCUUAGCAACAGCACGGGAUUAUGGAUUCGGAAAGGCAGUAAUUGUCAAGUGUAAGAUAC